GAUGAACGCUGGCGGCGUGCUUAACACAUGCAAGUCGAACGGGAUCCAUCAGGCUUUGCUUGGUGGUGAGAGUGGCGAACGGGUGAGUAAUGCGUGACCGACCUGCCCCAUACACCGGAAUAGCUCCUGGAAACGGGUGGUAAUGCCGGAUGCUCCGACUCCUCGCAUGGGGUGUCGGGAAAGAUUUCAUCGGUAUGGGAUGGGGUCGCGUCCUAUCAGGUAGUCGGCGGGGUAACGGCCCACCGAGCCUACGACGGGUAGCCGGCCUGAGAGGGCGACCGGCCACAUUGGGACUGAGAUACGGCCCAGACUCCUACGGGAGGCAGCAGUGGGGAAUAUUGCACAAUGGGCGCAAGCCUGAUGCAGCGACGCCGCGUGCGGGAUGACGGCCUUCGGGUUGUAAACCGCUUUUGAUCGGGAGCAAGCCUUC
rnacentral:rRNA from 1 species